AAAAAGAGAGAGAUCCAAGGAGAAUUUCUAAAUUCUAUUAGCUAGGAUAAUUUUGUCUUCGUGGACUCUCCUUUGUUGAAAUAUCAAUUAGGCUCAAGGCAGAGACAGUCCCGGACUUAUGUUAUAUCCUUCAAAGUGAUAUUCCCUGCUCAAACACCUGACGUAGAAUAUACUUGAGCUAGGUUCAGAAAACCUGUGAAAAAUCCAUAUUUUCCCUUGUUAUUCAGUAACAAUAUUGCAGUUUGGGUCCAGUCCUUGUAAUUUUUUCAUUGAAACGCUGAAAUUCGACCUUGAGAGCA